rnacentral:misc_RNA from 1 species
GAUGAAGAACGCAGCGAAAUGCGAUAAGUAAUGUGAAUUGCAGAAUUCAGUGAAUCAUCGAAUCUUUGAACGCACCUUGCGCCCUUUGGCUAUUCUGAAGGGCAUGCCUGUUUGAGUAUCGUGAACACCUCAACUCUCAUGGUCUGCCAUGAUGAGCUUGGACUUUGGGGGUCUUGCUGGCCUACUUUCAGCUCCUCUCAAAUGAAUCAGCUUACCAGUGUUUGGUGGCACCACAGGUGUGAUAACUAUCUACGCUUGUGGUUUUCUGCCAGGUAACCUCCAGUGAUGGAGGUUCGCUGGAGCUCACAAAUGUCUCUCCUCAGCGAGGACAGCUUUUUGAACGUUUGAUCUCAAAUCAGGUAGGACUACCCGCUGAACUUAAGCAUAUCAAUAAGCGGAGCA